CCCCCACGCAGGGCCCAGGGAAUUCGACCCCUUGCCUUGACUCCUUGACUCGCAGGGCCAGCCAGCCAGAUCUCCCAACAGCCUAUACCCUUCUGUGUCUAUGUAACAGCAUCUCGCCGUACGAGGUAACUAACAGAACUUCCUGGUUUUCACGACUUUACUCUGGUACUUCACCGAGUGGCCCCCGUGUCCUAUGACAUACACAUCCAGCAGAUGCAGAACUUGUUCCUCUCCUGAGUGCCCAGCCAGGCCACGGUGGCCGAGGAGCAGGUGCGGAGCUUGUCGAAGGCUUUGAUUCUCGU